rnacentral:lncRNA from 1 species
GAGAUUCUGAAUCUCAAAACCAAUGAAAGUUUCAAAAGUUGAAAAAUUGACUUUCAUCCUUGAAUCCAGUGUACAAGUAAGCUGGUAACUCUCAGACCAAGAUUCAGCACCCCUGAGACUUGAGAAACCGUGAGUCCACUAAGGAGACACAGUCUAGAGGAUGGAUGGAAGGUCUCAUACACAGAUCAAGUCCACAGUUGAGAUUGUUAUUUGCCUCUUCUCUUCUGCCUGGGCACUGCCAAAGAAAAAAGGAGAUUGUAGCAAUUCACUGGACCCAGAACCUAGUUGAGGGAGCAUUGUGACAUGCCACUGGGCUCAGCACCCAGGUGAUGUUCCUCUCCUGCCUGGUCCCUUCCAUCAGGGAAUAUUGUACAAAUCUCUGGCCAAGCACCCAGUUGAUGUGACUCUCCUGCUCACUACCUACUCACAGGUUACAUGUCCCAUGUCGCAGAAAAUGUUGUAAUGUAUUGCUGGACCCAGUCACCAGAUGAUGUGUCUCUCCUGCCAAGGCUGUGCCCACAGAGAGCAUUUUGACAUAUCACUGGGCUCAGCACCCAGGUGAAAUGACUCUGCUGCCUGUACUCUGCUUUAAGAGGGGAUUGUAAUAUAUCUGUGGCUGAGCACCUAGGUGAGAUGACUUCUGCGUGGUUUCUGACCUCAGGAAAGAUUGUGACAUAUCUUUGCCGAAAACCUACAUGAUGUGAAUCUGCUGCUCACUUCCUACCGACAGUCUCCAAAGUUAUCAGAAACCUGCAUUUAAAAAUACCUGGCAAAGUUCCAUAGCGGACCAUAAAUCACCUCUUGAAGAGGAUCGAAUCAAGACAACAAUUGUCUGAGGGAUUGAGACAAUUCUGGAAGCCCAGCACCUAGGUGAUGUGACUUUCAUCUUUUGUUUGGACCGUGUGCACAAAAGGAAGAGUGGCUUAUCACUGGACCUCACACACAGGAGGUAUUGUGACAUAUUCCUGGAGCAAGUACCCAGGUAAUGUAACUCUUUUCUACUGCUUGGACUCUACCCAAGGAGAGAUUCUAAUGUAUCACUGGACCCAGCACCUAGGUUACGUGACUUUCCUCUUGUGUCUGAGUCUUGCAUAAAUUGUGUAUUGUGACAAAUCUCUGGGUCUAAAACCUAGGUGAUGAGACUCUUAUGCAUGAGCCCUGCUUACAGGGAUAUUAUGACAUAUCUUUUUUUUUUAAUCACCUAUGUGAUGUGCCUUUGUUUGUGUGUGUGUGUGUGUGUGCGUCCUGGCCCUGCCAAAAGUGGGGAUUGUAACAUAUCAUUAAACUUAGUACCAAGGUGUUAUGACUCACCUUGUUUGCCUGGGCCCUGCAUAUAUUUGGUAAUGUGACGUAUGGCUGAGACAAACACCUAGGGCAUGAGAGCCUUGUGCCUGGGUCCUGCCCACAAGGAGCCUUUUGGCUUAUCUCUGCAUCCAUGAACUAGGAGAUGUGACUCUUCUUUUCUGUCUGGGUUCUGCAAAAACAAGUGAUUGUGACAUAUCAUCAAACCCAGCAACUAGACGAUGUGAUUUUUCUUCCCUGCUUGAGCCCUGGAUAUGCUGUGCAUUGUGAUAUAUGGCUGGGUCCAACAUCAAGGAGAGAUUGUGACAUAUCUCUGGAACCAGAACCUUGGUGAUGUGACUCUUCUCUCCUGCUGAAGCCAUGCCCACACAAGGGAAAGUGACUUAUCACUGGGCCCAGCACACAGCGCUAUUCACAGGGAAAAUAGUGACACAUCUGUGGGGUUCUCACCGAAAUGAUGUGACUCUCUUGCCUGGGCUCACCUCUCAAGGGAAUUUUGACAUAUUACUGGACCAAGCACCUAGGCCCUGCAUUUAUUGUGUAUUGUGACAUAUGGCUUGGUCCAACACCUAGGUGGUGUGACUCUCUACUUCUUCCUGUGCCAUGCCAAAGAAGAGGAUUGUGACAUAUCACUGGAUCCAGCACCUAGGAUGCAUAUGCCAGAUUUCCAGGCCCAUCACCUAGAUGAUGAGACUCUCCUCUUCUUUCUGGGACCAAUACACAGUGGGAAUUGUGAUGCAUCGUUUAGCUCAGCAGCUACAUGAUGUGACCCUCUUCUCAUGAGAUUCCUGCCCACUUGGGUAAUUGCAACAUAUAAUGUAGCCGAGUUUCUAGGAUACCUGACUCUUCUCUUAUUCCUGAGACUUACACAGAAUCGGCAACAUCUCUGAUCUUCUCACCUAGGUGGAUGGUGACUCUAAGACCAGGAUUCAACACAACUAGAAGGCUUUGACUCUAAUACGAGUCACAGAAGGCUCUGCGACUCUUCUAUUUUCUCUAGGUUAUGCAAAUGGAGGUGGAUUGUGACAUAUCAUAGGGCCAACACAACACACAGUCUACAGGUGGAAUUGGGACUCUCAUGCAUGGAUCCAGUUCAUCAUUGAUACUGUGACUCAGGUGGGAUUUUGACAUAUAACUGCACCCAGCACACAGGUGAGAUUGUGACUCUUGUAUGCUCAUCCUGCCAAAAGUUGAGUGUCACCCUCACACAUGGACAGAGACUUCUGUGGUCCAUUACAUUGAUGACAUUAUGCUGAUUGAAUCCAGUAAGCAAGAAAUAGCAAACACACCAGACUUAUUCAUGAGACGUUUGCAUGCCAGAGGAUGGAAAAUAAGUCUGACUAAAAUUUAGAGACCUUCUAGCUCAGUAAAACUUCCAGGGGUCCAGUGGUCCAAGGCCUGUCAAGAUAGUCCUUCUAAGGUAAAAGGUAAGUUGCUGCAUUUGGCCCAUCCUACAACCAAGAAAGAGGCACAAUGUCUAGUGGGCCUAUUUGGGUUUUGGAGGCAACCUAUUCCUCAUUUGGGUGUGUUACUCUGGCCCAUUUAUUGAGUGACCCAAAAAGCUGCCAGUUCUGAGUGUGGUCCAGAAAAGGAGAAGGCUCUGCAACAGGUCCAGGCUGCUGUGCAAGCUGCUCUGCCACUUGGGCCAUAUUACCCAGGAGAUCCAAUGGAUCUUGAGUUGUCAGUGUAAAAUAAGGAUGCUAUUUGUAGCCUUUGGCAGGCCCCCUUAGGUGAAUCACAGCAGAGGCCUCUAGAAUUUUGUUCUUUC